CUCAGAAUUGAACCGUGGCGGGCAGCCCUAACACAUGCAAGUCGAGCGGAAACAGGAAAGGAGCUUGCACCCUUUGCUGUCGAGCGGCGGAACGGGUGAGUAAUGCCUAGGGAACUGCCCAGUCGAGGGGGAUAACAGUUGGAAACGACUGCUAAUACCGCAUACCGCCCUACGGGGGGAAAGGAGGGGACGCGUUUUUCGAAGUGCGCCAUUUCGCCGAUUGGAUGUACCUAGGUGGGAUUAGCUAGUUGGUAAGGUAAUGGCUUACCAAGGCGACGAUCCCUAGCUGGUCUGAAGAGGAUGAUCAGCCACACUUGGAACUGAGACACGGUCCAGACUUCCUACGGGGAGGCAGCAGUGGGGGAAUAUUUCACACAAUGGGAGCAAACCCUGAUGCAGCCAAUUGGCCCGCGUGUGUGAAGAAGGCCCUCCGGGUUUGUAAAGCACCUUUCCAGCGAGGAGGAAAAGGUUGGAGUUUAAAUAAACCUAUAGCCUGUGACGUUACUCGCAGAAGAAGCACCGGGCUAACCUCGUGCCCAGCAAGCCGGGUAAUACCGAGGGGUGAAACCGUUAAGCGGGAAUUACUGGGCGUAAACCGUACGCAGGCGGUUUGUUAAGCAAGAUGUGAAAGCCCCGGGCUCAACCUGGGAAUUGCAUUUUGAACUGGCAAACUAGAGUCUUGUAGAGGGGGGUAGAAUUUCAGGUGUAGCGGUGAAAUGCCGUAGAGAAUCUGAAGGAAUACCGGUGGCGAAGGCGGCCCCCUGGACAAAGACUGACGCUGAGGUACGAAAGCGUGGGGAGCAAACAGGAUUAGAUACCCUGGUAGUCCACGCCGUUAAACGAUGUCUACUCGGAAAUUUGGUGUCUUUGAACACUGGGUUCCCCAAGCUAACGCAUUUAGUAGACCGCCUGGGAAGUACGGCCCAAAGGUUAAAACUCAAAUGAAUUGACGGGGGGCCCGCACAAGCGGUGGAGCAUGUGGUUUAAUUCGAUGGAACGCGAAGAACCUUACCUACUCCUUGACAUCCCACAGAAUUCGCUAGAGAUAGCUUAGUGCUUCGGGAACUGUGAGACAGGUGCUGCAUGGCUGUCGUCAGCUCGUGUUGUGAAAUGUUGGGUUAAGUCCCGCAACGAGCGCAACCCUUAUCCUUAUUUGCCAGCACGUAAUGGUGGGAACCUUUAGGGAGACUGCCGGUGAUAAACCGGAGGAAGGUGGGGACGACGUCAAGUCAUCAUGGCCCUUACGAGUAGGGCUACACACGUGCUACAAUGGUCGGUACAGAGGGUUGCAACGCCGCGAGGUCAAGCUAAUCCCACAAAGACCGGUCGUAGUCCGGAUCGGAGUCUGCAACUCGACUCCGUGAAGUCGGAAUCGCUAGUAAUCGUGAAUCAGAAUGUCACGGUGAAUACGGUUCCCGGGCCUUGUACACAACCGGCCCGUCACACCAUGGGAGUGGGCUGCACCAGAAGGUAGAUAGCUUAACCGUUCUUUCCCUCGGAGAGAAUGGAGGGCGUUUACCACGGUGUGGUUCAUGACUGGGGUGAAGU
rnacentral:rRNA from 1 species